GACGAACGCUGGCGGCGUGCUUAACACAUGCAAGUCGAACGGAGUGGCGAACGGGUGAGUAACACGUGGGUGAUCUGCCUUGCACUCUGGGAUAAGCUUUGGAAACUGGAUCUAAUACCGGAUAGUGCAAGAUGAGCUCGCGGCCUAUCCGCUUGUUGGUGGGGUAAUGGCCUACCAAGGCGUCGACGGGUAGCCGGCCUGCGAGGGUGUACGGCGACAGUGGGACUGAGAGACGGCCCAGAAGCCUACGGGAGGCAGCAGGGGGGAAUAUUGCAAAAGGGGGGGAAGCGUGAUGCAGCGACGCCGCGUGGGGGAUGACGGCCUUCGGGGGGUAAACGCCUGUCGACAGGGACGCGGUACCUGUAGAAGAAGCACCGGCUAACUACGUGCCAGCAGCCGCGGUAAUAC
rnacentral:rRNA from 1 species